rnacentral:rRNA from 1 species
GUAGGUGGCAAGCGUUGUCCGGAAUUAUUGGGCGUAAAGCGCGCGCAGGCGGUUCUUUAAGUCUGAUGUGAAAGCCCACGGCUCAACCGUGGAGGGUCAUUGGAAACUGGUGAACUUGAGUACAGAAGAGGAAAGCGGAAUUCCACGUGUAGCGGUGAAAUGCGUAGAGAUGUGGAGGAACACCAGUGGCGAAGGCGGCUUUCUGGUCUGUAACUGACGCUGAGGCGCGAAAGCGUGGGGAGCAAACAGGGAUUAGAUACCCUGGUAGUCCACGCCGUAAACGAUGAGUGCUAAGUGUUAGGGGGUUUCCGCCCCCUUAGUGCUGCAGCUAACGCAUUAAGCACUCCGCCUGGGGAGUACGGCCGCAAGGCUG